AAAUAGAACUGAGAAGAGUCCAAAGUACACACCUGUAUGAACUUUUCUAUAAAAGCACAUCACUUUGCAACACCUUUCCACUUACUUCAGGAAAUGCUGGAGAUUAGCAGUUCCAAUAUCGCAUUGGAAUGAAACAAACCACAGGACCUGUGUGCAAAUCCGCAAGGAUAAGACGUAGGCUACAUCAAUUCAGGGCCAGUGGUGUCGCAUGGUGGAAACAUGUUUGCAGUUUGACCAACUGAUCGAAAGGUUCAUAUGUUUGAGAUUCUACAUGAAUUAAGAAUCAGAGUUUAGACAUUCUUUCUAAAAUUUUGGAUGUUCCGGUUCAAGUUCGUCUUUCCAGUCUGGAAGAAAUUUUUCUUCAUUCUAGUUCAAGUUUAUUCUUAUAGCUUUAUCAAAGAAAAGAGGGAGUUGGUUUAUUCAGUUGGGACAUGAUACCACUGGACUGUCCUGUGAUUGGCUACUGGCCGAACUCAACAUACAUAUUUUUCUUGGCAACCUUAUUUUAACUCUUUGUUUGCUGCUGAAGUAGUAAAGGGAAGA